AUUGAACGCUGGCGGAAUGCUUUACACAUGCAAGUCGAACGGCAGCACGGACUUCGGUCUGGUGGCGAGUGGCGAACGGGUGAGUAAUACAUCGGAACGUGCCCAGUCGUGGGGGAUAACGUAGCGAAAGCUACGCUAAUACCGCAUACGAUCUAAGGAUGAAAGCGGGGGGUCGCAAGACCUCGCGCGAUUGGAGCGGCCGAUGGCAGAUUAGGUAGUGGGUAGGGUAAAGGCCUACAAAGCCGACGAUCUGUAGCGGGUCUGAGAGGACGACCAGCCAAACGGGGACGGAGACACGGCCCAGACUCCUACGGGAGGCAGCAGGGGGGAAUUUUGGACAAUGGACGAAAGUCUGAUCCAGCCAUUCCGCGUGCAGGAUGAAGGCCCUCGGGUUGUAAACUGCUUUUGUACAGAACAAAAAGGCUCUGUUUAAUACCUGGAGCUCAUGACGGUACUGUAAGAAUAAGCACCGGCUAACUACGUGCCAGCAGCCGCCGUAA
rnacentral:rRNA from 1 species